rnacentral:rRNA from 1 species
GACGAACGCUGGCGGCGUGCUUAACACAUGCAAGUCGAACGAAGUGGCGAACGGGUGAGUAACGUGUAAUCAACCUGCCCUUCAGAGGGGGACAACAGUUGGAAACGACUGCUAAUACCGCAUACGGAUGGACGGGAUUGCGUCUGAUUAGCUAGUUGGAGGGGUAACGGCCCACCAAGGCGAUGAUCAGUAGCCGUUCUGAGAGGAUGAACGGCCACAAUGGGACUGGGACACGGCCCAGACUCCUACGGGAGGCAGCAGUGGGGAAUCUUCCGAAAUGGGGGAAAGUCUGACGGAGCAACGCCGCGUGAGUGAUGACGGCCUUCGGGGUGUAAAGCUCUGUUAAUCGGGACGCGGUACCGGAAGAGAAAGCCACGGCUAACUACGUGCCAGCAGCCGCGGUAAUUC